rnacentral:rRNA from 1 species
CUAGAAUAACGGUGCCCGUACCGCAAACCGACACAGGUAGUCAAGAUGAGAAUUCUAAGGUGAGCGAGCGAACUCUCGUUAAGGAACUCGGCAAAAUGACCCCGUAACUUCGGGAGAAGGGGUGCUCUUUGAGGUUCACGCUUCGAAGAGCCGCAGUGAAUAGGCCCAAGCGACUGUUUAUCAAAAACACAGGUCUCUGCUAAACCGUAAGGUGACGUAUAGGGGCUGACGCCUGCCCGGUGCUGGAAGGUUAAGAGGAGUGGUUAGCGCAAGCGAAGCUACGAAUCGAAGCCCCAGUAAACGGCGGCCGUAACUAUAACGGUCCUAAGGUAGCGAAAUUCCUUGUCGGGUAAGUUCCGACCCGCACGAAAGGCGUAACGAUUUGGGCACUGUCUCAACGAGAGACUCGGUGAAAUCAUAGUACCGGUGAAGAUGCCGGUUACCCGCGACAGGACGGAAAGACCCCGUGGAGCUUUACUGUAGCCUGAUAUUGAAAUUCGGUACAGUUUGUACAGGAUAGGUAGGAGCCUUAGAAGCGUGAGCGCUAGCUUACGUGGAGGCAUUGGUGGGAUACUACCCUAAUUGUAUUGGAUUUCUAACCCGCAGCACUUAUCGUGCUGGGAGACAGUGUCAGGCGGGCAGUUUGACUGGGGCGGUCGCCUCCUAAAGAGUAACGGAGGCGCUCAAAGGUUCCCUCAGAAUGGUUGGAAAUCAUUCAUAGAGUGUAAAGGCAUAAGGGAGCUUGACUGCGAGACCUACAAGUCGAGCAGGGUCGAAAGACGGACUUAGUGAUCCGGUGGUUCCGCAUGGAAGGGCCAUCGCUCAACGGAUAAAAGCUACCCCGGGGAUAACAGGCUUAUCUCCCCCAAGAGUUCACAUCGACGGGGAGGUUUGGCACCUCGAUGUCGGCUCAUCGCAUCCUGGGGCUGUAGUCGGUCCCAAGGGUUGGGCUGUUCGCCCAUUAAAGCGGUACGCGAGCUGGGUUCAGAACGUCGUGAGACAGUUCGGUCCCUAUCCGUCGUGGGCGUAGGAAAUUUGAGAGGAGCUGUCCUUAGUACGAGAGGACCGGGAUGGACAUACCUCUGGUGUACCAGUUGUCGUGCCAACGGCAUAGCUGGGUAGCUAUGUAUGGACGGGAUAAGUGCUGAAAGCAUCUAAGCAUGAAGCCCCCCUCGAGAUGAGAUUU